rnacentral:lncRNA from 1 species
CUUUCUCUCGCUGCCCCUUACCUUCCAUCCCAACCAUUCUCUCGCUGCCCCUUACCUUCCAUCCCAACCACCAGAGAUCAGUUGCUGGAAAAAAAAAUAUACCAGAAAGAGAACCCAAUGUUUUAAGAACAAAUCAACAUCAUGGUUUUCCAAUUAUUUAUUUUUUCUGUUUUUUCUUCUGUUUUCAUUUUCUGGAAUUUAUUUCCCUUUUUAUCAAUUUAGGCCAAUUCAUUCCAAGUGAAGAGAGUUCCAAUUCAACAAAAAUUCCAAUUAAUUUCAUUCUGAUCCAUUCAAAUUUAUCAAUUUCACAGUGAGAGGUUGGUUGUUUUCAUUCACCCAAAUUUCAAAACUAGAUUACGACAGAGAAGAAAAGGGGAAGAUGGGGAAGAGAGUCAUGCUGGGCGGGAGGAAAGGGGGCGCCGGUGAUGGUGACGGUGAUAGUGACAGUGCCGGCGAGGAGAAGGACAGGGGCAGCUAUGAUCAUAGAGAGGAAGAUGGAAGGGUACGUUACACAGAGAAAGAGAAGAGUGUUUUUUGUUUUUACUAAAUAAAGUAUAAUUUUUUACUAUUUAAUCUCAACCCUUGAAUUUGUCUUUGCCACAUGUCAUACAUCUAUGCCUUGGAAUGGGAUCAAUUGAGCACACCUAAAUGGAGCAAAGAUGAACUCCACUUAUUUAUAGCAUUGACAUUCUAACA